CAGAGGAAACGUCUGAACGUGUCGAGCUGAGACAGAAAAAAGAAAAGACUCCACCUGUGUCUCAAACGUUUUGAAGGACGAAGAGAAGGAAACAUCCUGAAUCAUUUGAAGGAGAAGUUUCAGUAUGAAGCAGGAAAACGAGACGACAGGUGGCGUCUGAAGAAAGAUGGAGAAUCGACCUUUUCAACAAUCUUUUAUCUUCAAGAAAAUUCAAGCGUUGGACUGAAGCUCGUUGUGACGUCUUCAUGGUUUGACAUUAGUUUGAAGAGAAAGACGAGACGACCUGUUCUGAAAUCUUUCGUCUGGAUUGUUCUGAAGAGUCCAAGAAGACGCACAACGACAACAAGUAGGACGAUUUGUAGAAGACGUCUCUGAGGUGAUUGAAUUCAAGAGGAGGAAAUGUCUUGAGAAGCUGAAGGUCUUUGUUCAGACCUGAUCCAGGACCAGACCUGGACCCAGACUGGAUUCACCUCUGACCUCAGACAUUCCAAUCGUUACUUCAGAGAAGAAGGAACGUGUUCCUGAUGUCCUGACGCAGGUCGUCCUCGUCUGUCGGCCGGACUCGUUCCUCAGUCCAACAGGAAAAUGAUGGCAGGUCAAGACGCAGACCUGUGAGGAGGAAUCGAAGCCACACUAUUGACGGUACACAGGCGUGAUGUUAGCGUGUUGCUCCCUGCUGCUCACCUGGCUGCUGGUCACCACCAGAGUCCAAAGCCAA